UAACGUGAGCGUCCUAAGGUAGCGCGAUAAUUUGCUUUUCAAUUGAAGGAUGGUAUGAAAGGGUUAACGAAGAAGGUGCUGUGUCUAAAAAUUCAAUUUAAACUAACUUUAAGGUGAAGAGGCCUUUAUGUAAAAGAAGGACGACAAGACCCUAUGAAGCUUUAUCUUAAUUGGAGCUCUCAGGCUCUUAUACGAUUUUGAUGGGAGAUCAGUAGAAAGAAGUCUUCUACUAUCAUAUUAAUCUUACUAGUAUUUCCUAACUUUAUAUGUGUGGCUAGCUACUCUAGGGAUAACAGCGCAAUUUCUCCCGAAAGACGGUAUUGGAGGGGAAGAUUGCGACCUCGAUGUUGGCUUUAGAUAUCCUAGAGGCGUAGAAGCUUCU
rnacentral:rRNA from 1 species